UCAAGCUAGAAAGAGUGCGUGGUGGAUGCUCUGGCGCCGAGAGGCGACGAAGGACGUGGUCAGCUGCGAUAAGCCCCGGGGAGGUGCUAACAACCUGUGAUCCGGGGAUCUCCGAAUGCGGGAACGCCACGCGGGUAGAUUCCGCGUGAUCCGCUCGACGAAUGAAUAGUCGGCGGAAGUCAACGGGGCGAAUUGAAACAUCUUAGUAGCCCCAGGAAAAGAAAGAGCCAUCGAUGUCCUCAGUAGCGGCGAGCGAACGGGACACAGCCUAAACCGUAUGCGUGCCAAGGCCCAGGCCGUUGCGCAUGCGGUGUCGUGGGACCUUCUCCCCGUGCCUGGAUCACGGGCGGGAGUUACAAAGGACGCGCCUAGCCGAAGCUUCUGGAAAGCUGCGCCAAAGCGGGUGAUAGCCCCGUAGGCGAAAGGCGACGUCUCUCCCGUGAAGGCACCCGAGUACGGUCGGACACGUGAAACCCGGCCUGAAUCCGGAGGGACCAUCCUCCAAGGCUAAAUACUCCUCGGCGACCGAUAGCGAACCAGUAGCGUGAGCGAAAUUAGUGAAAAGCACCCCUGUUAGGGGAGUGAAAUAGUACCUGAAACCACGCAUUUACAACCUGUGGGAGCCCUAUGCCGGCCGCAAGGCCGGAACGGGCGACCACGUACCUUUUGCAUAAUGGGCCCGCGAGUUGAUCUGUGCGGCAAGGUUAAGGGCUUCAGGCCCGGAGCCGAAGCGAAAGCGAGUGCGAAUAGCGCGUCUCAAGUCGCCCAGAUCAGACCCGAAUAGAUGUGAUCUAUCCAUGGCCAGGAUGAAGCGGCCGUAACGGGCCGUGGAGGUCCGAACUCGUUGGUGGUGAAAAAUCAUGCGAUGAGCCGUGGAUGGGAGCGAAAGACUAGUCAAACAUCUCAAUAGCUGGUUCUCCCCGAAAUGCAUUUUGGUGCAGCGUCGCGUAGUUGACGGGCGGGGGUAGAGCGACUGAAUGGGCAGGGAGCCCUCACGGGUAUCCAGCCUAACCAAACUCCGAAUACCGUCCGUUUCACCGCGGCAGUGAGUCCUUGGGGGAUAAGCUCCAUGGACAAGAGGGAAACAGCCCAGAUCGACGGCUAAGGUCCCCGAUUCGUGCUGAGUGCGAAAGGAAGUGGGAUUGCGAAGACAGCCGGGAUGUUGGCUUAGAAGCAGCCAUCAUUUAAAAAGUGCGUAAUAGCUUACCGGUCGAGCAAUCCUGCGCCGAUAAUAAACGGGACUAAGCACGAUACCGAAGCCUCGACUGCUUCGCGCGCGUGCGCGCGGAGCGGGGUAGGGGAGCGUCGGACGAUAGGCCGAAGGGAGACGGAAACGACUCCUGGACGAUGUCCGAGUGAGUAUGCGGGCACGAGUAACGAGAAACGCAGUGAGAAUCUGCGUCGCCGUAAACCCAAGGUUUCCUGGGCAAGGUCAUUCCUCCCAGGGUCAGUCGGAUCCUAAGGCGAGGCCGAAAGGCGUAGUCGAUGGAAAACGGGUCAACAUUCCCGUACCGGUCUCUGCGUGUUCGAUGCCGAGGAGGGGUGGAGAAGGCUAGACGGGCCGGGGGCCAGUAGUCCCGGUUCAAGCCCGUAGGCCGGUCCGCAGGCAAACCCGCGGGCCACAUAGGCCGAGAGGUGACGACGAGGUCGAUUCUGCACCGAAGUCGUCGAUGCCAUGCUUCCAAGAAAAUCUCCGCGGCUAGCGCAGGGAGCGACCGUACCGCAAACCGACACAGGUGGGUGGGGUGAAUAUCCUAAGGCGCUCGAGAGAACCAUGGUCAAGGAACUCGGCAAAUUAGCUCCGUAACUUCGGGAGAAGGAGUGCCUCCCAGGGUCAAGGGCCUCGCGCCCUGAAGCCCGGGGGGGCCGCAGUGAAAGGUGAGCUGGAACUGGUUAUCAAAACCACAGGUCUGUGCUAAGGCAUGACGCCGACGUAUACAGACUGACGCUUGCUCAGUGACGGAAGGUCAAAGUGAGCGGUUAGCCGCAAGGCGAAGCUGCGAACUCAAGCCCCGUUAAACAGCGGCCGUAACUAUGACGGUCCUAAGGUAGCGAAAUUCCUUGUCGGGUAAGUUCCGACCCGCAUGAAUAGCGUCAUCACAGCUCAACUGUCUCGACCAUGGACUCGGUGAAACUGCAGUUGUGGUGAAAAUACCAUGUACCCGCAGCAAGACGGAAAGACCCCGUGAACCUUUACUGUAGCCUGCCAUUGUGUUUAGGCAUUCCAUGCGUAGGAUAGGUGGGAGACGCCAUACCGACGGGCUCCGGCCCGAAGGAAGUCAACGGUGAAAUACCACUCUUGGGGUGCUUGAAUUCUAACCUCGCCCGUGAAUCCGGGCGGGGGACCGUGAUAGGUGGGCAGUUUGGCUGGGGCGGUCUCCUCCCAA
rnacentral:rRNA from 1 species